UACAGAGGGGGCAAGCGUUGUUCGGAAUUACUGGGCGUAAAGGGCGCGUAGGCGGCCUCUUAAGUCGAACGUGAAAUCCCUGGGCUCAACCCAGGAACUGCGUCCGAUACUGGAAGGCUUGAAUCCGGGAGAGGGAUGCGGAAUUCCAGGUGUAGCGGUGAAAUGCGUAGAUAUCUGGAGGAACACCGGUGGCGAAGGCGGCAUCCUGGACCGGUAUUGACGCUGAGGCGCGAAAGCCAGGGGAGCAAACGGG
rnacentral:rRNA from 1 species